ACGUAGGUGGCAAGCGUUGUCCGGAUUUAUUGGGUUUAAAGGGUGCGUAGGCGGCCUAUUAAGUCAGUUCUGAAAUAUCCCGGCUUAACCGGGAGGGUGGGAUUGAUACUGAUGGGCUUGAGUGGACUCGAGGUAGGCGGAAUUGACGGUGUAGCGGUGAAAUGCUUAGAUAUCGGGAGGAACACCAGUGGCGAAGGCGGCUACCUGGACCAGCACUGACACUGAGGCACGAAAGCGUGGGGAGCAAACAGGA
rnacentral:rRNA from 1 species